rnacentral:rRNA from 1 species
ACUCCUGCGGGAGGCAGCAGUGGGGAAUUUUGGACAAUGGGGGCAACCCUGAUCCAGCAAUGCCGCGUGAGUGAAGAAGGCCUUCGGGUUGUAAAGCUCUUUUGUCAGGGAAGAAACGGUGGUGGCGAAUAACUACUACUAAUGACGGUACCUGAAGAAUAAGCACCGGCUAACUACGUGCCAGCAGCCGCGGUAAUACGUAGGGUGCCAGCGUUAAUCGGAAUUACUGGGCGUAAAGCGUGCGCAGGCGGUUGUGUAAGUCAGAUGUGAAAUCCCCGGGCUCAACCUGGGAAUUGCAUUUGAGACUGCACGGCGAGAGUGUGUCAGAGGGGGGUAGAAAUCCACGUGUAACAGUGAAAUGCGUAGAUAUGUGGGGGAAUACCGAUGGCGAAGGCAGCCCCCUGGGAUAACACUGACGCUCAUGCACGAAAGCGUGGGGAGCAAACAGGAUUAGAAACCCUGGUAGUCCCA